rnacentral:tRNA from 13 species
GCGUGCCCUUCGCGGUGGCCGGCGCGGCCGGAAGCGGCCUUCAAAACUGGUGGUGUGCUCGUG